UCCCAUAGACCACAAGCCCACACAUCUUAAUAUAAUCUUCAUUCACUCUCUCUUCACUCGUGCAGAUAGUAGGCAUGGUGAAAGCGGUGGCAAUAGUAGUGGCCUUAGCCCUGGCCAUGGUAGUGGCAAUGAGUGUAGGCAGGGUGUCAGCAAACUGCAACAUCGCGCUGCUAGCAGUUUGCAAGACAGCGGUCAUCGGAGGUUUAAAACCCACUGUGACGUGCUGCUCCAUCCUGCGAGCACAGGAGGCAUGCUUGUGCAAAUACCAGAAAGACCCCAAGUAUGGCAUGUACAUUAACCCUGCCCGCAAAAUGAUUACCUCCUGCGGCAUGGCCAUCCCCAACUGCUAGGUGCCCUUCCCAUGCCCCCACCGUGUCAGUGUUGGAUGUGUGCCUUGUUACCUCUUGUGUGCAUGUAACAUGCCUUAUAUAUAAAUAAAUAAUUUCGGCAAAAGAACUAGUUUAUUGGUUGAAGAUGCAUAGGUCUACGCAUGUCGAUCAAUCUCUGUAUGUUUGUAUUCAAUUUACACCUUAUAUGGACCAUCAUAUAGCACUAAGAGUGAUGGUGCAUAUCCGUGCCCUGUUCAAGACAUGCUUUUCAUUAGCGGCCAGGAACAUUCAUACCAGAUGUAAAGUGAUGGCUUAGCCUCAACAUUGUCAUGCUAGACUGCAAAGCCUCAAGAUUUUCUCAAAUCUAAGACCGAAUAGAACAGUGGCUUUACCCACAGGCGGCACGCUGACCCAACCUAGCUAUGCAGGAGACAUGCUUCUGCCAAGACGUGGAAGACCCCCCAACGCCACAAUCUAGCAUUGUAAACAGCCAAAAAUGGGUGUAAUAAUUUUCCUACCAACAUAAGACUGUCUCUAUUUAUAUGAGAGGAUCCAUAUAUCCAAUUGUCAAAAACACAUCUACCUUUACUUUUUUACCUCUAAAUAUAAUCCCCUCCAAAAGCCUUAUUGUGCAACACAUUCUAGGUGCCUUUGUCGAUCCUAGACCACCCUUGCUAUCACCGCUACAAUAGAACUUAACUGUGGCAGGCAUUUUACAUUUACUGUGCCAGUUUUUACAACUGCCACAGACACAAGGUCAAGUUAAUUGUGGCUUAAUUGAGGCAGUUUAUAAAACCACCAUAGUUAAUCCAUUAGCCGUGGCGGGCGACAUAAGGCAAGCACCAUGGUAAAUAGACAUUCACGAUGACAGCUGCCUUAUGUCGCCCUGUGGCCUACAAGAUUUAGUUUCCUGAAGAGUUGAACUCAAUAUUUCUAGUUUUUCAUGUGUCCCAGCUGAGGAAAUGUUUGAAAGUGCCCGAGCAGCGGAUUGAACCUCAAGGAAUCAAGAUAAAGGCAGAUUUGGAAUAUAAAGAGCAACCGGUGGGUAUCGUAGAUACCAAGGAGCGGGUAACCCAGAAUAGAGUUGUCAAAACUUACAAGGUGGUAUGGAGUCAUCACGACGAUAGAGAUGCCACCUGGGAAACCGAGGAUUACCUAAAAACAGUUUACCCAAAAUUUCAUAAGAAAUGGUUAGUAACCCAAAAUCUCGGGACGAGAUUUCUCUAAGGUGGGAAGGGCUGUAACACCCUAGGUGUUAAGCAUGCACUUAAGUUUCAUAAACAUUCUCAUCAAGCAUAGCAUAAGCAUAGCAUCACAUGAGCAUGGCAUUAAUCCAAGUGUGAUUUUAUGUGCUUGAAUUUCAUGGUUUAUAUAUGAUAGAAAUAGUGUGCUUGUUGCCAAAAUUCUUGAAAUGCCCAAAAUAGGUUGAAAUAUGUUUAGAAGAAUUAAGAGUAAUUUGGUGAAAUUUUUGGAGCUAUAGAAAUUGAGAAAAUGGAUUUUUACAAAAAUCCCCAAAAUGAAUUCAUUUAAAAACCUAUAACUAGUUUUAAGUUGUAUCUCAAAUUCUAUUUAAAAUUUGGGAUUUCAACUUGAAUCAAAGUUGUAGAACUCUUUAUUUGUGACAACUUUUGUUUUUGGGGGUAAAGCUGAAAAAGGUUUUAAAAUAGUCAAAAUGAAUUUGGAAAAAGAAUUGAGAAAAUAAAUUCAAAAAAAAGAAAGGGGGCAGGCGCUGCUGGGCCGACCCGCCUCCCAUUUGGCCCGCUCAGCCACGCGGCCCAUUUCCCCCUCCCCUCUCACGCGCGCGGACGCGCCCGCCUCGCUCCACCCGGCGCCGGCCACGUGGCGGCCGUACGCCAGCAUCGUGGACGCGGCCGCCCGCCCGAUCGGCUUAACCCGGUAGGGAUGCCACCCCGCGCCCCCAAAAUGCCCCACUCUGUCCCAUACCAACUCCUUCUUCUUCCUCGCUCGCGCGCAGCAGCAGCCGCGGCGGUGCUCCGCCGUGCGCCAUUGGCAUCGCAGCCAAGCUCCCCACUCCGACCACCCGCGUUCGAUUAAACCCACCCCCAGCUCCGUCUCGACGAGCUCUACCUCGUGCGCACACUCCUGGCUGUCCGCGUCAAGGUAUUGGGUGAGAUUCCGCCACCGCACCAUGGCCGGAGCUUCGGCAAGCUCUCGGUCCGCGCCGAUCUUCCUCCCCUGACCCUCUUUCUCUUCUUUAAUUAGCGCAUUUUGGUCGCCGCACCCCAGCGAACCCUAUGCGCCUCUCCGUUCGCGUUCUAUUGGCUGGAGGCGGCCAGACGCCGAUGAGCAGCGCCACCGAGCUCCACCAUGCGCCAUACCCACCGCUAGGGACCUCCACCGCCGACGUGAGUUAGCGCAACGUGUUCGUCUCGUCGAGACAAAGCCGUAGGUGACGGCCGUGCCACCGGAGACCUCGCCGUCGACGAGAGCCAGCCGGUCGAAGGCGGCCGGACUACGGCGCGGCUGACCAGUGGGGCCACGACCCCUGGGUCCCGCCUGUCAAGAUCUUUGCGGGUGUGGAUCAGGGUGGAUCUAGUGUUUUUCCUCAGUUUUUCUUAAAUAAAGGUUUCAGAAAUCAUUUAAAUCUUGUAUAUUUCAUAACUUGAGUUCUACAGCUCCAAAAAUGAUGAAAUAAAUUAUGGUGUGUUCUAAAAUUUCAGAUCUACCAUUUGGUGUAAUUGCAUGUUAUAUUUGAACGACUUUUCUGUACAAAUGUAUUUAAUCCAUGUUUUUGCUAAUAAUUAGAAAAUGCAUAGCAAUUAAAAUAUAACUCAGAAAAAUGUGAAACUUGUUUUGUUAGCUUUUCAUGGAUGAUUAGCCUCUGGGAAAAUAUGUCAUACAUUAGUUGCUGUAUAAACUAAUUUAUAAUGAUUUAAAUGCUUGCAUGGCAAUGGUGUAUGAUUUUUAGUAAAUAAUUGGAUCAUGCAAUUAAUCUCGAAAUUUUUGUGGGAGUUCCUCAUCAUAGUAAUUAAUUUAUAAAAAUAUGAAAUCUGUUGUUUAACACUUUAUCACCAGUGGGUAAUUAUAGUUACUAUAUAGAAUAAACUUGUGUUUUUGUGUGGGCUAAGCUAUCUGUCCAAAUAUUAUAAAAAAUUUGUGGUGGACUUUAAAUGGGACCAGUGAUCUACUGUAAUUUUUGUGAAAUUUAUUGAUAAUCAUAAGUACAGGCUACUGUUGUAGGUCCAAUGAUAAUUAAAAUAAAUUAGGAAUUGUUGUGCAUGAGUUAAAUGGCAUAAAAGGGUGUUUGGUGUAUCUUUGAAGCAUCAUGUUAGCUUGCUUGUUAACCAUGAAAACAACUUGUAGAAGAGAAUGCAAUAGAUGCUUAAUUUGAGUACAUGUUCUUGGAUGAUGUUGACUACCUUGUAGAAAUAAUCACCUAUAUCAUCUAUGCAUGAUUUCAUGGUCAUCUGGUACCCACUUGCAUAAGCAUUGCAUCCCGGGCAUCUCACACUCCACUCAUGAACACACAUGCAUCAUACAGGCUCGCAGGAGAACGAGGUGGGACACAAGAAGCAGGAAGAGGCCCAGGAGCAGGAACUUCCGGGAGGACCAGAGCCGGAAGGAGAGCUUCAGGAGUGUGCGGACCACAAGCCUAGCAUGUUUGAGAAAGGAAAGCCCCGGAGCAUUCUAAGUCUCCCUAUUCUCGCUAACUUAAUUGAUAUAUUAUGAUUGUUCUACUAUGUUGCAUCUAAGUGAUAGGAAUUGCUUGAUACCGUUGAUGCAUACUUACUCCUUGAUAUCACCACCUGUUUAUCUACCUUGUCCUAUGUAGUAGGCUCGGAGUCUAUGCUUAGCUUGCUUAGUACGGUAGAAAUCAGGUGAUUUCGAGUCACCUGCGAGAUAUAGGUGGACACCUCAAUGAUAAGCGGUCAAUGCUGUUGUGAGAAGUAACCAAGUGUGGGAAUGAACUUGAGACCGGUCAGGGUCUUAUGGUGGAGUUGACCGUAGUGCCCCUGCCUGUGUCGAUUAAGGACCGAUCAUUGACGACCCUCUUGUCAUGUUGAACGCAUGCCCACACUAAGCUGGAAGGAUAAGUCAUUCCGACCGUGAAGCCUGAGCACUAUCUGGGCCAGGAAUCGGCUCGAUGUACGCGUUGUAUUGGUGAUCUUUGAGGAGAACGAUGAGGGCGCGGUGUGCAACCUUGGUAUACCUUGGAUACCUCGGUCGACGAAACGGUCCUCGGGUACGAGUGGUGCCUGUCGAACACGUGAAUUGGUCCUGUAUAGUGUAAUACGGUGAUCUGUAGCUCACUUGAUCAGUGAGUGUGGUUUGUGUGGAGAACAAACUCGCCAGCUGGUCAGAAAUCGAUUCGUAUCGCCAUCGCUCCUGGAUAAUGAGCACUUGACAUGAGCCCUGUCCUGGUAGUAAGGUCUAUGAAACACUUGGGAUAUGAUAAGGAAUGUUUUGUGAAUGUUAUGAUGAGGUACCAUCAUAUCACAACACUUGUUUGCAAUAGUAUAGGUGCAAAUCUGGAUGAUAGGUAAUAACACCUGCCCUGAGCUAAUUAAAGAAGAAGGGUAAGGCUAGGAUAUACAUCUAGUUAAUUAAUGCUUUUGGGCAAAAGGUCUCAGCUACCCCAUCAAACAGCCUUCAUGAUCCUUGAAGAGUCUUUAUUUUUGGUUUAUGACGGGUAAGUCUAGCUGAGUACAUUCUCGUACUCAGGGUUCCAUUCCCAUGUUGUUUUGCAGAUGGGCAGAUGUACUAUGGUUAUUGCGUUCACUGCUUGUACCCAGCGAUGGGUGAUGACUAGACCGAGGGCGAUGGUCACUCUACCUUCUCUUUUGCUUUUGGGCGAAUGAUCAACAAUGGCACUGUAUCAGACUGAAUGUGUGUGUGUUAUUUUAAAACUAUGAAGCUUCCGCUACUUGUGAACUUGGUUUGUAAUAACUACAUUUGAACUCCGAUGUAUGUGAUGUAUGUUGCGAACUGGAUGUAACUGUGAAUGGUGACCGCUGAACUUAUUACGAUCUUGGCUGUAUGUAUGAGUUGUGGUUUGAAAUCCUUCGAGAUUUCACGGACUACCGGGAUUAUAUGGGCUUAAGCUUGAUGAUUUGACUCUGCAAACGGUCAAUAUUAGGCUUAAUCUCUCAUAAUUUGGACGGUUAUGUUACAUCCGUAACCGAUAAUGAUCCUGUCCAAUGAUAGGCAGGGCCCACAUAAGAUGGUGGUAUUUGUCCUCUGUUUGCCACAUGUUUGGCAGCCGCCACAUACGCAAGUUCAUUUUUUCCUCUGCUUCUCUGCCAUAUAGACUGAAUACAGAGCACUAUGAUGGGCUCUAGGAAUGCAAAACACUAGCCCAAAUAGAAUAAUGUUUUGCUAAGCCCAAUACAUUUCAUCUUCUUCCUUGUGAAGGGGCAGGUGUCUGACAAUUUUCAGGGGCUAUACACGCCGGAGCCAAGGUAUGGCGAGGGCAUACUUUCAACACUUAGUCCUUCGCCCCACAUAGUACACGUUGGCAUUUGAGGCAUGUUAGUUGUAGAAAUAGAGAAGAGAAUAGAUGUAUAUAGACAAGAUAUAUAUAUAGAGAUAUGCCAUAGAUGAGUGAUGCAAUUUGUAGCUCCAAACUGUAACAAACAUUGUGUUGGAGGGAUAGAUGGGGAAGUGAGUCACGUGCCCAGAGGAAUAGAAGAGGCAGAACGAUGGAGAAGUAAACUGACAAACUAUGGGACCAAUAGGAAAAGUUUUCUGCAUUUAAUAUUAUGUAGGAUAGAUAUAGAUAUAGAGAUUAUGUAUAGAUACAGAUUAAAUUGAACUACACUUCUAUAAUUUUCAACAGAUAUUGUAGCUCCAAUAUAGUCUGCUCCUGCUAGGCUUCAAAUUCCUUCGGUGUGUGGUGGGUCAACUAGAAGAGUGGUGGGAGCGAGUGGCGGACAAAUGAAGAAGACAUAUUUAUAUAAUUUAAUAAUUAUUAGUUAUCUAUAAAAAUGUCUAGUGACAUGCUAGAUAUAUUAUAGAUAUUGAGAUACAUAUUAAAGUAAAUUUUCAUAUAAUAAUAUAUUAGAAGGGAGUGAAUUGUGUUGUUCACGCAACUUUUGCUAUACCAGGUUUUGUUGUAUAUAAAUACUAAGCCAAAAUAUGCAUCGAUUCACUCCCAUAGACCACAAGCCCACACAUCUUAAUAUAAUCUUCAUUCACUCUCUCUUCACUCGUGCAGAUAGUAGGCAUGGUGAAAGCGGUGGCAAUAGUAGUGGCCUUAGCCCUGGCCAUGGUAGUGGCAAUGAGUGUAGGCAGGGUGUCAGCAAACUGCAACAUCGCGCUGCUAGCAGUUUGCAAGACGGCGGUCAUCGGAGGUUUAAAACCCACUGUGACGUGCUGCUCCAUCCUGCGAGCACAGGAGGCAUGCUUGUGCAAAUACCAGAAAGACCCCAAGUAUGGCAUGUACAUUAACCCUGCCCGCAAAAUGAUUACCUCCUGCGGCAUGGCCAUCCCCAACUGCUAGGUGCCCUUCCCAUGCCCCCACCGUGUCAGUGUUGGAUGUGUGCCUUGUUACCUCUUGUGUGCAUGUAACAUGCCUUAUAUAUAAAUAAAUAAUUUCGGCAAAAGAACCAGUUUAUUGGUUGAAGAUGCAUAGGUCUACGCAUGUCGAUCAAUCUCUGUAUGUUUGUAUUCAAUUUACACCUUAUAUGGACCAUCAUAUAGCACUAAGAGUGAUGGUGCAUAUCCGUGCCCUGUUCAAGACAUGCUUUUCAUUAGCGGCAAGGAACAUUCAUACCAGAUGUAAAGUGAUGGCUUAGCCUCAACAUUGUCAUGCUAGACUGCAAAGCCUCAAGAUUUUCUCAAAUCUAAGACCGAAUAGAACAGUGGCUUUACCCACAGGCGGCACGCUGACCCAACCUAGCUAUGCAGGAGACAUGCUUCUGCCAAGACGUGGAAGACCCCCCAACGCCACAAUCUAGCAUUGUAAACAGCCAAAAAUGGGUGUAAUAAUUUUCCUACCAACAUAAGACUGUCUCUAUUUAUAUGAGAGGAUCCAUAUAUCCAAUUGUCAAAAACACAUCUACCUUUACUUUUUUACCUCUAAAUAUAAUCCCCUCCAAAAGCCUUAUUGUGCAACACAUUCUAGGUGCCUUUGUCGAUCCUAGACCACCCUUGCUAUCACCGCUACAAUAGAACUUAACUGUGGCAGGCAUUUUACAUUUACUGUGCCAGUUUUUACAACUGCCACAGACACAAGGUCAAGUUAAUUGUGGCUUAAUUGAGGCAGUUUAUAAAACCACCAUAGUUAAUCCAUUAGCCGUGGCGGGCGACAUAAGGCAAGCACCAUGGUAAAUAGACAUUCACGAUGACAGCUGCCUUAUGUCGCCCUGUGGCCUACAAGAUUCAGUUUCCUGAAGAGUUGAACUCAAUAUUUCUAGUUUUUCAUGUGUCCCAGCUGAGGAAAUGUUUGAAAGUGCCCGAGCAGCGGAUUGAACCUCAAGGAAUCAAGAUAAAGGCAGAUUUGGAAUAUAAAGAGCAACCGGUGGGUAUCGUAGAUACCAAGGAGCGGGUAACCCAGAAUAGAGUUGUCAAAACUUACAAGGUGGUAUGGAGUCAUCACGACGAUAGAGAUGCCACCUGGGAAACCGAGGAUUACCUAAAAACAGUUUACCCAAAAUUUCAUAAGAAAUGGUUAGUAACCCAAAAUCUCGGGACGAGAUUUCUCUAAGGUGGGAAGGGCUGUAACACCCUAGGUGUUAAGCAUGCACUUAAGUUUCAUAAACAUUCUCAUCAAGCAUAGCAUAAGCAUAGCAUCACAUGAGCAUGGCAUUAAUCCAAGUGUGAUUUUAUGUGCUUGAAUUUCAUGGUUUAUAUAUGAUAGAAAUAGUGUGCUUGUUGCCAAAAUUCUUGAAAUGCCCAAAAUAGGUUGAAAUAUGUUUAGGAGAAUUAAGAGUAAUUUGGUGAAAUUUUUGGAGCUAUAGAAAUUGAGAAAAUGGAUUUUUACAAAAAUUCCCAAAAUGAAUUCAUUUAAAAACCUAUAACUAGUUUUAAGUUGUAUCUCAAAUUCUAUUUAAAAUUUGGGAUUUCAACUUGAAUCAAAGUUGUAGAACUCUUUAUUUGUGACAACUUUUGUUUUUGGGGUAAAGCUGAAAAAGGUUUUAAAAUAGUCAAAAUGAAUUUGGGAAAAGAAUUGAGAAAAGAAAUUCAAAAAAAAGAAAGGGGGCAGGCGCUGCUGGGCCGACCCGCCUCCCAUUUGGCCCGCUCAGCCACGCGGCCCAUUUCCCCCUCCCCUCUCACGCGCGCGGACGCGCCCGCCUCGCUCCACCCGGCGCCGGCCACGUGGCGGCCGUACGCCAGCAUCGUGGACGCGGCCGCCCGCCCGAUCGGCUUAACCCGGUAGGGAUGCCACCCCGCGCCCCCAAAAUGCCCCACUCUGUCCCAUACCAACUCCUUCUUCUUCCUCGCUCGCGCGCAGCAGCAGCCGCGGCGGUGCUCCGCCGUGCGCCAUUGGCAUCGCAGCCAAGCUCCCCACUCCGACCACCCGCGUUCGAUUAAACCCACCCCCAGCUCCGCCUCGACGAGCUCUACCUCGUGCGCACACUCCUGGCUGUCCGCGUCAAGGUAUUGGGUGAGAUUCCGCCACCGCACCAUGGCCGGAGCUUCGGCAAGCUCUCGGUCCGCGCCGAUCUUCCUCCCCUGACCCUCUUUCUCUUCUUUAAUUAGCGCAUUUUGGUCGCCGCACCCCAGCGAACCCUAUGCGCCCCUCCGAUCGCGUUCUAUUGGCUGGAGGCGGCCAGACGCCGAUGAGCAGCGCCACCGAGCUCCACCAUGCGCCAUACCCACCGCUAGGGACCUCCACCGCCGACGUGAGUUAGCGCAACGUGUUCGUCUCGUCGAGACAAAGCCGUAGGUGAUGGCCGUGCCACCGGAGACCUCGCCGUCGACGAGAGCCAGCCGGUCGAAGGCGGCCGGACUACGGCGUGGCUGACCAGUGGGGCCACGACCCCUGGGUCCCGCCUGUCAGCAUCUUUGCGGGUGUGGAUUAGGGUGGAUCUAGUGUUUUUCCUCGGUUUUUCUUAAAUAAAGGUUUCAGAAAUCAUUUAAAUCUUGUAUAUUUCAUAACUUGAGUUCUACAGCUCCAAAAAUGAUGAAAUAAAUUAUGGUGUGUUCUAAAAUUUCAGAUCUACCAUUUGGUGUAAUUGCAUGUUAUAUUUGAACGACUUUUCUGUACAAAUGUAUUUAAUCCAUGUUUUUGCUAAUAAUUAGAAAAUGCAUAGCAAUUAAAAUAUAACUCAGAAAAAUGUGAAACUUGUUUUGUUAGCUUUUCAUGGAUGAUUAGCCUCUGGGAAAAUAUGUCAUACAUUAGUUGCUGUAUAAACUAAUUUAUAAUGAUUUAAAUGCUUGCAUGGCAAUGGUGUAUGAUUUUUAGUAAAUAAUUGGAUCAUGCAAUUAAUCUCGAAAUUUUUGUGGGAGUUCCUCAUCAUAGUAAUUAAUUUAUAAAAAUAUGAAAUCUGUUGUUUAACACUUUAUCACCAGUGGGUAAUUAUAGUUACUAUAUAGAAUAAACUUGUGUUUUUGUGUGGGCUAAGCUAUCUGUCCAAAUAUUAUAAAAAAUUUGUGGUGGACUUUAAAUGGGACCAGUGAUCUACUGUAAUUUUUGUGAAAUUUAUUGAUAAUCAUAAGUACAGGCUACUGUUGUAGGUCCAAUGAUAAUUAAAAUAAAUUAGGAAUUGUUGUGCAUGAGUUAAAUGGCAUAAAAGGGUGUUUGGUGUAUCUUUGAAGCAUCAUGUUAGCUUGCUUGUUAACCAUGAAAACAACUUGUAGAAGAGAAUGCAAUAGAUGCUUAAUUUGAGUACAUGUUCUUGGAUGAUGUUGACUACCUUGUAGAAAUAAUCACCUAUAUCAUCUAUGCAUGAUUUCAUGGUCAUCUGGUACCCACUUGCAUAAGCAUUGCAUCCCGGGCAUCUCACACUCCACUCAUGAACACACAUGCAUCAUACAGGCUCGCAGGAGAACGAGGUGGGACACAAGGAGCAGGAAGAGGCCCAGGAGCAGGAACUUCCGGGAGGACCAGAGCCGGAAGGAGAGCUUCAGGAGUGUGCGGACCACAAGCCUAGCAUGUUUGAGAAAGGAAAGCCCCGGAGCAUUCUAAGUCUCCCUAUUCUCGCUAACUUAAUUGAUAUAUUAUGAUUGUUCUACUAUGUUGCAUCUAAGUGAUAGGAAUUGCUUGAUACCGUUGAUGCAUACUUACUCCUUGAUAUCACCACCUGUUUAUCUACCUUGUCCUAUGUAGUAGGCUCGGAGUCUAUGCUUAGCUUGCUUAGUACGGUAGAAAUCAGGUGAUUUCGAGUCACCUGCGAGAUAUAGGUGGACACCUCAAUGAUAAGCGGUCAAUGCUGUUGUGAGAAGUAACCAAGUGUGGGAAUGAACUUGAGACCGGUCAGGGUCUUAUGGUGGAGUUGACCGUAGUGCCCCUGCCUGUGUCGAUUAAGGACCGAUCAUUGACGACCCUCUUGUCAUGUUGAACGCAUGCCCACACUAAGCUGGAAGGAUAAGUCAUUCCGACCGUGAAGCCUGAGCACUAUCUGGGCCAGGAAUCGGCUCGAUGUACGCGUUGUAUUGGUGAUCUUUGAGGAGAACGAUGAGGGCGCGGUGUGCAACCUUGGUAUACCUUGGAUACCUCGGUCGACGAAACGGUCCUCGGGUACGAGUGGUGCCUGUCGAACACGCGAAUUGGUCCUGUAUAGUGUAAUACGGUGAUCUGUAGCUCACUUGAUCAGUGAGUGUGGUUUGUGUGGAGAACAAACUCGCCAGCUGGUCAGAAAUCGAUUCGUAUCGCCAUCGCUCCUGGAUAAUGAGCACUUGACAUGAGCCCUGUCCUGGUAGUAAGGUCUAUGAAACACUUGGGAUAUGAUAAGGAAUGUUUUGUGAAUGUUAUGAUGAGGUACCAUCAUAUCACAACACUUGUUUGCAAUAGUAUAGGUGCAAAUCUGGAUGAUAGGUAAUAACACCUGACCUGAGCUAAUUAAAGAAGAAGGGUAAGGCUAGGAUAUACAUCUAGUUAAUUAAAGCUUUUGGGCAAAAGGUCUCAGUUACCCCAUCAAACAGCCUUCAUGAUCCUUGAAGAGUCUUUAUUUUUGGUUUAUGACGGGUAAGUCUAGCUGAGUACAUUCUCGUACUCAGGGUUCCAUUCCCAUGUUGUUUUGCAGAUGGGCAGAUGUACUAUGGUUAUUGCGUUCACUGCUUGUACCCAGCGUUGGGUGAUGACUAGACCGAGGGCGAUGGUCACUCUACCUUCUCUUUUGCUUUUGGGCGAAUGAUCAACAAUGGCACUGUAUCAGACUGAAUGUGUGUGUGUGUUAUUUUAAAACUAUGAAGCUUCCGCUACUUGUGAACUUGGUUUGUAAUAACUACAUUUGAACUCCGAUGUAUGUGAUGUAUGUUGCGAACUGGAUGUAACUGUGAAUGGUGACCGCUGAACUUAUUACGAUCUUGGCUGUAUGUAUGAGUUGUGGUUUGAAAUCCUUCGAGAUUUCACGGACUACCGGGAUUAUAUGGGCUUAAGCUUGAUGAUUUGACUCUGCAAACGGUCAAUAUUAGGCUUAAUCUCUCAUAAUUUGGACGGUUAUGUUACAUCCGUAACCGAUAAUGAUCCAGUCCAAUGAUAGGCAGGGCCCACAUAAGAUGGUGGUAUUUGUCCUCUGUUUGCCACAUGUUUGGCAGCCGCCACAUACGCAAGUUCAUUUUUUCCUCUGCUUCUCUGCCAUAUAGACUGAAUACAGAGCACUAUGAUGGGCUCUAGGAAUGCAAAACACUGGCCCAAAUAGAAUAAUGUUUUGCUAAGCCCAAUACAUUUCAUCUUCUUCCUUGUGAAGGGGCAGGUGUCUGACAAUUUUCAGGGGCUAUACACGCCGGAGCCAAGGUAUGGCGAGGGCAUACUUUCAACACUUAGUCCUUCGCCCCACAUAGUACACGUUGGCAUUUGAGGCAUGUUAGUUGUAGAAAUAGAGAAGAGAAUAGAUGUAUAUAGACAAGAUAUAUAUAUAGAGAUAUGCCAUAGAUGAGUGAUGCAAUUUGUAGCUCCAAACUGUAACAAACAUUGUGUUGGAGGGAUAGAUGGGGAAGUGAGUCACGUGCCCAGAGGAAUAGAAGAGGCAGAACGAUGGAGAAGUAAACUGACAAACUAUGGGACCAAUAGGAAAAGUUUUCUGCAUUUAAUAUUAUGUAGGAUAGAUAUAGAUAUAGAGAUUAUGUAUAGAUACAGAUUAAAUUGAACUACACUUCUAUAAUUUUCAACAGAUAUUGUAGCUCCAAUAUAGUCUGCUCCUGCUAGGCUUCAAAUUCCUUCGGUGUGUGGUGGGUCAACUAGAAGAGUGGUGGGAGCGAGUGGCGGACAAAUAAAGAAGACAUAUUUAUAUAAUUUAAUAAUUAUUAGUAAUAUAUAAAAAUGUCUAGUGACAUGCUAGAUAUGUUAUAGAUAUUAAGAUACAUAUUAAAGUAAAUUUUCAUAUAAUAAUAUAUUAGAAGGGAGUGAAUUGUGUUGUUCACGCAACUUUUGCUAUACCAGGUUUUGUUGUGUAUAAAUACUAAGCCAAAACAUGCAUCGAUUCACUCCCAUAGACCACAAGCCCACACAUCUUAAUAUAAUAUUCAUUCACUCUCUCUUCACUCGUGCAGAUAGUAGGCAUGGUGAAAGCGGUGGGAGUAGUAGUGGCCUUAGCCCUGGCCAUGGUAGUGGCAAUGAGUGUAGGCGGGGUGUCAGCGAACUGCAACAUCGCGCUGCUAGCAGUUUGCAAGACGGCGGUCAUCGGAGGGUUAAAACCCACUGUGACGUGCUGCUCCAUCCUGCGAGCACAGGAGGCAUGUAUGUGCAAAUACCAGAAAGACCCCAAGUAUGGCAUGUACAUUAACCCUGCCCGCAAAAUGAUUACCUCCUGCGGCAUGGCCAUCCCCAACUGCUAGGUGCACUUCCCAUGCCCCCACCGUGUCAGUGUUGGAUGUGUGCCUUGUUACCUCUUGUGUGCAUGUAACAUGCCUUAUAUAUAAAUAAAUAAUUUCGGCAAAAGAACCAGUUUAUUGGUUGAAGAUGCAUAGGUCUACGCAUGUCGAUCAAUCUCUGUAUGUUUGUAUUCAAUUUACACCUUAUAUGGACCAUCAUAUAGCACUAAGAGUGAUGGUGCAUAUCCGUGCCCUGUUCAAGACAUGCUUUUCAUUAGCGGCCAGGAACAUUCAUACCAGAUGUAAAGUGAUGGCUUAGCCUCAACAUUGUCAUGCUAGACUGCAAAGCCUCAAGAUUUUCUCAAAUCAAAGACCGAAUAGAACAAUGGCUUUACCCACAGGCGGCACGCUGACCCAACUUAGUUAUGCAGGAGACAUGCUUCUGCCAAGACGUGGAAGACCCCCCAAUGCCACAAUCUAGCCUUGUAAACAACCAAAAAUGGGUGGAAUAAUUUUCCUACCGAGAUAAGACUGUCUCUAUUUAUAUGAGAGGAUCCAUAUAUCCAAUUGUCAAAAACACAUCUAC
rnacentral:lncRNA from 1 species